GCAUCGAUGGCCGAGCCCGGUUAUGGCGUGUGACUCAAGUUCACAUACAGAAAUGUGCGUGGGUUCGAAUCCCACUCGAUGCA